GGUUUGUAGAUCAGCGGCAGACCACAUGCCUGAGAUGCAGAAGGUCGCAGGUUCAAUCCCUGGCAUCUCCA